GUGUACGAGGGGUACAUGCCGAUUCCGAGCACCGGCCGCGCCCACCUGACGACCGCGCAGUAGUUUUGUUAGCC
rnacentral:sRNA from 1 species